UACGGGAGGCAGCGGUGGGGAAUAUUGCACAAUGGGCGCAAGCCUGAUGCAGCCAUGCCGCGUGUAUGAAGAAGGCCUUCGGGUUGUAAAGUACUUUCAGUCGUGAGGAAGGUGUUAAGGUUAAUAACCUUAGCAAUUGACGUUAGCGACAGAAGAAGCACCGGCUAACUCCGUGCCAGCAGCCGCGGUAAUACGGAGGGUGCGAGCGUUAAUCGGAAUUACUGGGCGUAAAGGGCACGCAGGCGGUUAAUUAAGUUGGAUGUGAAAUCCCCGGGCUUAACCUGGGAAUGGCAUUCAAGACUGGUUAGCUAGAGUCUUGUAGAGGGGGUUAGAAUUCCAUGUGUAGCGGUGAAAUGCGUAGAGAUGUGGAGGAAUACCGGUGGCGAAGGCGGCCCCUGGGACAAAGACUGACGCUCAUGUGCGAAAGCGUGGGGAGCAAACAGGGAUUAGAUACC
rnacentral:rRNA from 1 species